rnacentral:lncRNA from 1 species
AUGCAGAAGACACCCCCCUGGGUGGCUACAGAGUUGCCCUCUGCAAAGUCUCUGGGCUCAGCGUUGCUGGGGCUUUGUGCCAGCAGCCCUCCCGCCACCAGACUAGGAGCUGGACUGCGUCUGCAGACGGGGAGAAGCCACCACCUCCACCCCACGUCCGGCGGUCUGAGCGUACAGAAUGGGAGAGCCCAGGACACGUCAGGAUGGACUCCAUGUCCCAGCACUCCAUUGGCCGCUGUGCCUCCCCAGAGGCCUGCCUGGAUCAAGCCCUUUUUCUGGGCUGCUGCGCCUCUCGCUGCCCCUUUUCUCCUGGCAGGCGAUAGGACCGAGGCCAGGGCAGCUCGUCCCAGGACACCUGCCUCUUGCACCCUGGGCUGCUGUCUUCUCCCUGACCCCACACACCCAGUCGGGAAUAAAGCAAGGGGUCUCUUGCACAGGAGGAUGGCUACGUCUCUCCCCAUCUGGCCAGAUGGCGUUGUGGGCCGAGGUCGGUCGGGCCCCGGCUGGCAGAGGCAGGUCCUUCCUGGGCCUCCUGGCAUUGGCUGCCAACUCUGGGAAGUCCUUCCCCAGCAGCUCAUGACACCUGCCCAGUUUUCAGGAGGGAGGGGGAGCAGGACAGACUCCCUGGCUACUGAUGGGCCUGGCAUGACCCAGGGCUGCGGCAGGCAGCUCAGACUCAGGCCCCCGUGCCUUGUACCCAGUGGCACUCAGAGGCAUGCGCAUGCUGUGUGUUCCCCCCACUCGGAAAAAGAGGAGGCAGCCGGAAGGGGUCUCGGUGGUAAACUGAAUGCUUUAUUUCAUUCAAGACAAGGUAGCCAACUACAGCUCAAGAGUGCAAAGAGAGACCUCCCAGGCGAGGGAGCAAGGAAGUGCCUGCGCGUGGCCCAGCGGCUAUGCUCAUCUGCCAGGCAUGCACUCAUGCAGAUGGAACCCCACAUUGGCCCUGGCGCAGAUUGCCCGCCGGGCACCUCUUUUCCAAGGGAAGGGGGAGAGGGUGCCCACGGGAGCAUUAGGGAAUCCUCUCACCACACCCGUGUGGCCCCACACAACGCUGGGCUGGGUUCUCUGUGGGGGACAAUGGGCAGCAGGUGGCUGGAUGAGGACAAGCCCUUUCCAGCCGUCCGACUUCACAGGCAGAGAAGGGGGCUGGGGAAGCCUUACCGCUCCUGCCUGGGGGGGGGGGGGAGAAGCAUUUCCAGUGGGAAAGAGCCAGAGGGGAGGUUUCCCAGAAGGGUACACGGGAGGAUCUUCCCACCGGGAUCUAGUCUCCCCCAUAGGGCAAACCGGCUGGCCGCUGGCCCUCAUACCAGCUGUGCCCCCUAA